UCGCACCUAUCGUUCAAUGUCAUAUUGCUCAUGUCACCGUGCGAAUCUCAUAGACGGUAAUCUGCAGGCAUCUGCUAUGUGAUAUCAGAGGAUGGAGGAAGUGCUCACCGCGGCCAUCGGUUUAAUAAAUCAUAUCGAAUGUAGGACAGUCCCCCGACCAUGCUGGGUAUCAUCUUCUGGGUGCAGAGUUUACUGCAGUCGCAGGUGUCGGAGUUCUUCCAGAAUAGACUGUGCUGGGAGCCUUUUCUCAGCCCCGGCCAUGACUGCCGCCCUGGAAGCUACCACCAAUGGAAUCAUCUUCAAAUUCUGAGGAGGAACCUAGACUUCGUGCUUCUCCAGGACCCUUU